rnacentral:rRNA from 1 species
CAAUAAGCGGAGGAAAAGAAACUAACAAGGAUUCCCCUAGUAACUGCGAGUGAAGAGGGAAAAGCUCAAAUUUAAAAUCUGGCGGUCUUUGGCCGUCUGAGUUGUAAUCUAGAGAAGUGUCACCCGCGCUGGACCAUGUACAAGUCUCCUGGAAUGGAGCGUCAUAGAGGGUGAGAAUCCCGUCUUUGACAUGGACUACCAGGGCUUUGUGGUGUGCUCUCAAAGAGUCGAGUUGUUUGGGAAUGCAGCUCUAAACGGGUGGUAAAUUCCAUCUAAAGCUAAAUAUUGGCGAGAGACCGAUAGCGAACAAGUACCGUGAGGGAAAGAUGAAAAGAACUUUGGAAAGAGAGUUAAACAGUACGUGAAAUUGCUGAAAGGGAAACGCUUGAAGUCAGUCGCGUUGGCCGGGGAUCAGCUUCGCUCUUGCGUGGUGUACUUCCCAGUCGACGGGUCAGCAUCAAUUUUGACCGCCGGAAAAGGACUUGGGGAAUGUGGCAUCUUCGGAUGUGUUAUAGCCCUUUGUCGCACACGGCGGUUGGGAUUGAGGAACUCAGCACGCCGCAAGGCCGGGUUUCGACCACGUUCGUGCUUAGGAUGCUGGCAUAAUGGCUUUAAUCGACCCGUCUUGAAACACGGACCAAGGAGUCUAACAUGCCUGCGAGUGUUUGGGUAGAAAACCCGAGCGCGUAAUGAAAGUGAAAGUUGAGAUCCCUGUCGUGGGGAGCAUCGACGCCCGGACCAGAACUUUUGGGACGGAUCUGCGGUAGAGCAUGUAUGUUGGGACCCGAAAGAUGGUGAACUAUGCCUGAAUAGGGUGAAGCCAGAGGAAACUCUGGUGGAGGCUCGUAGCGAUUCUGACGUGCAAAUCGAUCGUCAAAUUUGGGUAUAGGGGCGAAAGACUAAUCGAACCAUCUA